rnacentral:rRNA from 1 species
AUUGAACGCUGGCGGCAGGCCUAACACAUGCAAGUCGAACGAGUGGCGGACGGGUGAGUAAUGUCUGGGAAACUGCCCGAUGGAGGGGGAUAACUACUGGAAACGGUAGCUAAUACCGCAUACCAUCGGAUGUGCCCAGAUGGGAUUAGCUAGUAGGUGGGGUAACGACUCACCUAGGCGACGAUCCCUAGCUGGUCUGAGAGGAUGACAGGCCACACUGGAACUGGGGCACGGGCCAGACUCCGACGGAGGGCAGCAGUGGGGAGUAUUGGACAAUGGGCACAAGCCUGAUGCAGCCAUGCCGCGUGUAUGAAGGAGGCCUUCGGGUUGUAAAGUACUUUCAGCGAAGAGGCGUUACUCGCAGAGGAAGCACCGGCUAACUCCGUGCCAGCAGCCGCGGUAAUAC